GGGGUCGUGAUGGAAUUGACAGCAAUGAAAUAGUACUUUGAAAGCAUGCAGUGCGUUGGAUAAUUAGCACUUUAAUCUGAAUACUCAACCACAAAAGGCGCAAAUAAUUUCGCCGUAGCAGCCUAAUUUUAUAAAUUAGCCGCUACUUUGGUAGAGCCUAACUGACUGGUGGGUUGGCUCUAUCGAAUCAAAAUCUUACUAUCAGUUGCCUUAAACGAAGGUUGAAGCGUUUAACUAAGAUUCUCAACUAAGCGUUCAAAAGGUUUGUUUGGUUCCAUAAAACGCCGAAAAUAAAUUCCAAAAUAAGCAUGUAGAAGACUGUAGGAUUUCUUGUUUGGACAGGGGUUCGACUCCCCUCGACUCCACAA
rnacentral:tmRNA from 1 species